UCCCUGGUGGCUCAGAUGGUAAAGCGUCUGCCUGCAAUGCGGGAGACCGGGGUUCAAUCCCUGGGUUGGGAA
rnacentral:tRNA from 1 species